rnacentral:rRNA from 1 species
AGUUUGAUCCUGGCUCAGAUUGAACGCUAGCGGCAUGCUUAACACAUGCAAGUCGAACGGUAACAGGCCUAGCUUGCUAGGUGCUGACGAGUGGCGGACGGGUGAGUAACGCGUAGGAAUCUACCUAGUAGUGGGGGAUAACCUGGUGAAAACCAGGCUAAUACCGCAUAAGCCCUAAGGGGGAAAGCAGGGGACCGUAAGGCCUUGUGCUAUUAGAUGAGCCUGCGUCAGAUUGGCUCGUUGGUGGGGUAAGGGCCUACCAAGGUGAUGAUCUGUAGCUGGUCUGAGAGGACGACCAGCCACACUGGGACUGAGACACGGCCCAGACUCCUACGGGAGGCAGCAGUGGGGAAUAUUGGACAAUGGGCGCAAGCCUGAUCCAGCAAUGCCGCGUGUGUGAAGAAGGCCUGCGGGUUGUAAAGCACUUUCAGUGGGGAGGAAGGUCUCAAUACUAAUAGUAUUGAGAAUUGACGUUACCCACAGAAGAAGCACCGGCUAACUCUGUGCCAGCAGCCGCGGUAAUACAGAGGGUGCAAGCGUUAAUCGGAAUUACUGGGCGUAAAGGGUGCGUAGGUGGUUUUUUAAGUCAGAUGUGAAAGCCCUGGGCUCAACCUAGGAAUUGCAUUUGAUACUGAAUAACUUGAGUAUGGUAGAGGGAAGUGGAAUUUCCAGUGUAGCGGUGAAAUGCGUAG